rnacentral:rRNA from 1 species
AGUGGGGAAUAUUGGACAAUGGGGGCAACCCUGAUCCAGCAAUGCCGCGUGAGUGAUGAAGGCCUUCGGGUUGUAAAGCUCUUUUGGCGGGGACGAUGAUGACGGUACCCGCAGAAUAAGCCCCGGCUAACUUCGUGCCAGCAGCCGCGGUAAUACGAAGGGGGCUAGCGUUGUUCGGAAUUACUGGGCGUAAAGGGCGCGUAGGCGGCCUUGUUAGUCGAGUGUGAAAGCCCUGGGCUUAACCCGGGAAGCGCGCUUGAUACUGCAGGGCUUGAGUGUGGGAGAGGUUGGUGGAAUUCCCAGUGUAGAGGUGAAAUUCGUAGAUAUUGGGAAGAACACCGGUGGCGAAGGCGACCAACUGGACCACAACUGACGCUGAGGCGCGAAAGCGUGGGGAGCAAA